AGAGUUUGAUCCUGGCUCAGGGUGAACGCUGGCGGCGCGCUUAAUGCAUGCAAGUCGAACGUGCCUUCGGGCAAGUGGCAGACGGCUGAGUAACGCGUGAGUAACGCACCCUUCGGUGGGGUAUAGCCUCGGGAAACUGAGGGUAAUCCCGCAUACGAUCCUUUCCCCCUGGGGAAAGGAUGAAAGCCUUCGGGCGCCGGAGGAGUGGCUCGCGUCCUAUCAGGUAGUUGGUGAGGUAACGGCUCACCAAGCCGAUGACGGGUAGCUGGUCUUAGAGGACGAUCAGCCAGAGGGGGACUGAGACACGGCCCCCACUCCUACGGGAGGCAGCAGCAGGGAAUUUUGGGCAAUGGACGAAAGUCUGACCCAGCGACGUCGCGUGGGGGAUGAAGGCUUUCGGGUCGUAAACCCCUUUUCUCGGGGAAGAGUGAGGACGGUACCCGAGGAAUAAGCCUCGGCUAACUACGUGCCAGCAUCCGCGGUAAUACGUAGGAGGCGAGCGUUGUCCGGAUUUACUGGGCGUAAAGGGCGAGUAGGCGGUCUAUUAAGUCUCAUGUGAAAUCUCCCGGCUUAACUGGGAGGGGUCAUGGGAAACUGGUAGACUUGAGGGCAGUAGAGGAGAGUGGAAUUCCCAGAGUAGCGGUGAUAUGCGUAGAUACUGGGAGGAACACCCGAGGCGAAGGCGACUCUCUGGGCUGUACCUGACGCUGAGGCGCGAAAGCAUGGGGAGCGAACCGGAUUAGAUACCCGGGUAGUCCAUGCCCUAAACGAUGGAUACUAGAUAUGGGGGGUAUCGACCCCCCCCGUGUCGUAGCUAACGUGAUAAGUAUCCCGCCUGGGGAGCACGACCGCAAGGCUAAAACUCAAAGGAAUUGAUGGGCCCCCGCACAAGCAGCGGAGCGUGUGGUUAAAUUCGAUGAUAAGCGAAGAGCCUUACCAGGGCUUGAAAUGCUUCUGUAAUCUCGGGAAACCGAGCCCUCCUUCGGGACAGAUGCAGAGAUGUUGCAUGGCCGUCGUCAGCUCGUGCCGUGAGGUGUUGGGUUAAGUCCCGCAACGAGCGCAACCCUUGUCGUUAGUUGUCUUUUUCUAGCGAGACCGCCCCUGACAAGGGGGAGGAAGGUGGGGAUGACGUCAGGUCAGCACGGCUCUUACGCCCUGGGCUACACACACGCUACAAUGGCCGGUACAGAGGGUUGCGAAGAAGUGAUUCGGAGCUAAUCCCACAAAGCCGGUCUCAGUUGGGAUUGCAGGCUGAAACUCGCCUGCAUGAACGUGGAGUUGCUAGUAAACGCAGGUCAGCACACUGCGUUGAAUACGUUCCCGGGCCUUGUACACACCGCCCGUCACGUCAUGGAAGUCGGUAACACUUGAAGUCGCUAGGCUAACCCUUCGGGGAGGCAGGCGCCGAGGGUGGGAUUGGUAACUGGGACGAAGUCGUAACAAGGUAGCC
rnacentral:rRNA from 1 species